GAAGAGGCCUGGCCCCGCGGCCGCCGCCGCCGCCCGGCCCGCCCGGCCCGCCCGGCCCGCCGCGGGGCCCCGGGCCCGAGACUGGCGCCCCGCGCCCCGGAUUCGCCUCGGCUCGGCCGCGCGGCAUUGAAAAGGAAAAGAUGAAAUAUAUGUUUAUAUAUAACUCUGUUUCUACAUACCUCGCUGAAGUCAAAACGCAUUUAAUUGUUAUAUUUCCCUUUCUCCAUGAUCUUGGACACUGGUAAAGUAGAAGAAACUGAGGUACGAUGAAACAGAAAAGUCUCUGGGACCGAGAAAAAGACAGAGCUGACAGCUAAAGAAACGGGGUCUGAAGAAAGGAAAGUAUUCUGCGCGUGGUCCCAAAGCCUCUGCAGCUGGAUUCCUUCUGCGACCAUCCGGUCAUGCCUCACCAACGACAGCCCGCCUUCUCUGACGUACGACCGUUUCGCUGUUGGCUCCGUCCGGGGACAGCCGAGUCCUGGUCUUGACCUCGAUAGACCGCCUCACAGCGUUUACCACCCCCUCCUCUCUGAUACUCUCUUCGGCUUCCACCAUUGUCUUCGGUCACUCUCUGCGCUCCGGCUCUUCUCCAUCCUCGAGCAGGGGCUCAUCCCCGCAGAUGGCAAUCCUCACACCUCACACGCCGGCCCUGAGCACUCUGCCGGGACCCCGUGCCACGGACCGCCUGUGAUUUGGGUGCCCCAAAGUGACUUCACGGCCAACUCACAACACAUCACCUUCUUCCCCCGUCAGAGUCCCCUUCUCCGUCGGCCGACUCUUCAUCUCUCGGUCCCCCGGGGCCAGACAAUGGAGUAUCGUCCUGGUCUCCUCCCUCUGCCCCAGACCUGCCUCCAGGAAAUUAUGGAGCCAGGUGAUUCUGCCUUCACUUCUGGCCAUCUGCUUUGACCUCCGCAGCCCCGAACUUAGUCCCCACCGCCUCCAUCCCUCUCCUGGAUCUGUCCCCACUUUUCUCCCCUCCAGUCCGUUCUCUUGACAUUGUAGGCAGGUCACCUCUUUACCGUGCAAAUCUGAUUGGGCCAUUCUCCCUAGAAAACCCUUAACCCUGAACUGUACACUUUGAAAGGGUGACUUUUAUAGUGUGUGAGUUAUAUCUCAACAAAUGAACAAACAAAAGCCAGGUUUACAAAGCCUCAGUUGACCUGGUCUGGCCUCCACACCCCUCAUCGCCCACCCUCCCCAGCCGCUGUCUCUUAGCUUUGCCCUCUGCUCCCCAGCUCGCCACUCUUACCCCUAAACUCUGUGCUGUUUAUUCUUUGCAGGAAGCCUUCUGUCCUCUCCUGCUUAUCCCUCGACUCCCUGGUCCCUUCGGGCCUCAGCUGGAGGUGAUGCCUGUCCCGAAAGCCUUCACUGAUCUCCCCAGGCUGGGGUUGGAUGUUCCUGAGGCGCCUCGUACUUAGCCUUUCACCUCUGUUCCUUUUAUGAAUCUUGAGUGACUGCCCUGGGCUGAGCACCGAGAGAGGGAGGUGCUGGGUACUCAGUGGCAAAUACGGGCCAGCUGUCUGCCCUCCUAGAGCUUUGAGUCUAAGAAGGGAGGAAGGUGGACAUUAAACUGAAUUAACACUAGGGCGCCUGGGUGGCUCAGUUGGUUAAGCGACUGCCUUUGGCUCAGGUCAUGGUCCUGGAGUCCCUGGAUCGAGUCUCGCAUCGGGCUCCCUGCUCGGCAGGGAGCCUGCUUCUCCCUCUGACCCUCCCCCCUCUCAUGUGCUCUCUGUCUCUCUCAUUCUCUCUGUCUCAAAUAAAUAAAUAAAAUCUUAAAAAAAAAAAAAAACUGAAUUAACACUAAAUACUUGCAUUGCAUUGAGAGGGAGGGAAGGAAUGUUUGACACGGUUGGAGGGGUCAGGGAAGACUCCGCCGAGGAGGUGACACUAAGCAGAGCCUCUAAGGGGAAGGAGCUGACCAAGCCAGCAGUGAGGGGUGGGGCGUUCGGCGCAGGGGACAGCAUGGGACAAGGCCCUGCCAGAAGGGAGCCUGGGGGGGGUUCAGAAGUAAGAUCUGCCGUCCAGCCCACGUUUUGUAACUUUGGCCCCUUCCCUCUGAGCCGGAGGCCUCGCUCCCUCCCCCUGGAUUGGAGGCCGGCUUCCUUCUACUUGUCUGGAGCUACCUGCUCUCCGUGUCCGGCUGCCAUGGUGGGGGGGUGGGGGAAGGCCACGCUGCCCCGUGGGGGGGCCACACAAGGGGUGUCCACGGCCAACAGCACCUGCCAGCGGCGCCACUGAGCCACUUGCAAGUGGAUCCUGCAGCUGGGGACAGUACACCGGGCGGGGUCCCCACGGAACGCUGCCCACAUCCCAGGUCUGUUAGCAAAAUAAAGAUGGGGGCUGUUUGAAGGCUGGCUUUGAUGUGCAGCGACAGGCAGGUCCCACGGGCAGCUGGACCCGCGUCCUGUGUGCGUCCUGUGUCCCACAGCGGGGGGCGCGGCUACUCACCGUGCAGUUGUGUGACCUUUGGCAAGUUCGUUCAUCUGUCUCUGCCUCCGGGUCCUCGGUACUUCGGUUUGUUGUGAGGCGGGUGAAUGAGUAAGUGAUGAAUGCAGGUGCACGCAGAUCUCCAGGCAACACAGACCGGCCCGGAGCCGCUGACCGUCACUCUCUCCCGAGGUU